rnacentral:rRNA from 1 species
CAUGGAAGGUCUGGAGCAAUCCUUCUUGGGAUACUGGCAUCAUUCAUAGACUUGUUGGCCUUUUCAAUCGGCAAAUUUCAUAUAAAAUUUCACCUAAGAAACGGGACUGAUAAUUUCACAUGGACUCUCGUCGCUGUCUAUGGGUCUGCCUAAGAUGAACAUAAAGAGGCUUUUCUUCAGGAAUUGGUGGACCUGGCUAAGGAUAACCCAUAUCCAAUGCUGAUUGGAGGGGACUUUAAUAUCCUUAUGUACCAGGAAGAGAAAAAUAGUGACCGCUUCGACACCCAUUGGCCUUUUCUAUUCAACGUUGUGAUAGACAGUUUGGAUCUUCGAUAGGCCAUUAUGUCGGGGCGGUAGUUCACCUGGGCUAAUAAUCGAUCUAUGCCGACAUACGAGAAGCUUGAUAGGGUACUCAUGGACACCAGAUGGGAACUAAAAUUUCCUUUUGUAACCGUGCGAGCCCUAGAGCGUAUCGAGGCAUUAUCGGAUCAUGCACCCAUCAUUCUGGAUUCUAACUCUACAAAUCCACCCGACUGUCGACCCUUCAAAUUUGAAUUGGGAUGGAUGCAUAGGGAAGGAUUUGUGGACAUAGUUAAGAAUGUUUGGGAGCGUCCUGCCAUUGGUCGUACACCGAUUCAGAGAUGGAACUUUAAAAUAAGGGCCAUGAGGCAACACCUCACUGGAUGGGCGAAACACACCAACGGAAUAUAUAAAAAAGAAAAACAACGGAUCUCCACCAUUAUUGAUGACCUCGACAAGAUUGCAGAGACGCGCACCUUAUCUCAACAAGAGAUUGAAUUGAAAAUUCAAUCUAAUGAGAAGGUGGCUAGGCUCUUGCAAAAAGAGGAAAUCAAAUACUACCAGAGAUCUAAAGCUGACUUCAUUUUGAUGGGUGAUAGUAAUACAAGAUACUUCCAAUUGAUUGCCAAUGGGUGA